AUUGGAGAUUUUAAUUACCUGGACAUAAUUUGGGAUAGAUUGACUAGUACUUCAGCAAGGGGAAUCAGGUUUUUGAAUGUGUUAAAUGACACCUUCAUGUCACAACUGGUACAAGCACCAACUAGAAAGGAUGCUUGUCUGGAUCUCGUUCAACAAACAAUGUUGAUCUUUUGACCAAAAUUCAAGUAGGGGAGCAUUUGGGAAAUAGUGAUCACAAUAUGGUAAUUUUUAAAAUAAACUCAAAAAAGCAAAAGCACGUGGGGUAUACUAAAAUGUAUAAUUUUCAAAAAGCUAGUUUCUAUAAGAUUAGGGCAGAUCUACAACAUAUCGACUGG
rnacentral:lncRNA from 1 species